GGACCCGCACAAGCGGUGGAGCAUGUGGUUUAAUUCGAUGCAACGCGAAGAACCUUACCUGGUCUUGACAUCCUGCGAACUUUCUAGAAAUAGAUUGGUGCCUUCGGGAACGCAGUGACAGGUGCUGCAUGGCUGUCGUCAGCUCGUGUCGUGAGAUGUUGGGUUAAGUCCCGUAACGAGCGCAACCCCUAUCCUUAUUUGCCAGCACAUUAUGGUGGGAACUAUAAGGAGACUGCCGGUGAUAAACCGGAGGAAGGCGGGGACGACGUCAAGUCAUCAUGGCCCUUACGACCAGGGCUACACACGUGCUACAAUGGGAUGGACAAGAGUCGCGAAGCCGCGAGGUGUAGCUAAUCUCAUAAACCUUCUCGUAGUCCGGAUUGGAGUCUGCAACUCGACUCCAUGAAGUCGGAAUCGCUAGUAAUCGUAGAUC
rnacentral:rRNA from 1 species